GUGGGGAAUUUUGCGCAAUGGGGGAAACCCUGACGCAGCGACGCCGCGUGAAGGAUGAAGGUCUUCGGAUUGUAAACUUCUUUUGUUGGGGACGAUAAUGACGGUACCCGAUGAAUAAGCCACGGCUAACUCUGUGCCAGCAGCCGCGGUAAGACAGAGGUGGCAAGCGUUGUUCGGAAUUACUGGGCUUAAAGGGCGCGUAGGUGUCCCGGCAAGUCAGAUGUGGAAUCUUUCCGCUUAACGGGAAAAUUGCAUCUGAAACUGUCGGGAUUGAGUCAGCGAGGGGAUGGCGGAAUUCCAGGUGUAGCGGUGAAAUGCGUAGAUAUCUGGAGGAAGGCCGGUGGCGAAGGCGGCCAUCUGGCGCUGAACUGACACUGAGGCGCGAAAGCGUGGGGAGCAAACAGGAUUAGAUACCCCAGUAGUCC
rnacentral:rRNA from 1 species